rnacentral:rRNA from 1 species
UACGUAGGUCCCGAGCGUUGUCCGGAUUUAUUGGGCGUAAAGCGAGCGCAGGUGGUUUAAUAAGUCUGAUGUAAAAGGCAGUGGCUCAACCAUUGUGUGCAUUGGAAACUGUUAGACUUGAGUGCAGUAGAGGAGAGUGGAAUUCCAUGUGUAGCGGUGAAAUGCGUAGAUAUAUGGAGGACCACCGGUGGCGAAAGCGGCUCUCUGGACUGUAACUGACACUGAGGUGCGAGAGCGUGGGGAGCAAACAGG